CAGGGAGACAACAAAAUGUUUUGAUAUAAAUUUUGUCACCUUAGGUCGAUCGGUAUCUCAGAUUUUCAUAAUUGAAAAUUUCAGUUUCUAAGUUUUUUCUAGGUCACCCAUUUUUCCUGGGCCAUUAGCUCAGGUGGUUAGAGCGCACCCCUGAUAAGGGUGAGGUCCCUGGUUCAAGUCCAGGAUGGCCCAUAUCUCUAUUAUUGGGGGUAUAGCUCAGUUGGUAGAGCGCCUGCUUUGCAAGCAGGAUGUCAGCGGUUCGAGUCCGCUUACCUCCACUGAAUACCACCUUUCCAAAGAGAAGGAAUAUUUGGGAUUGAUUUUAUCUGAAUGAAUCUAGCUUCCUAUUAUUUAAAUUAAUUAAUAAGAUGCUGGACUCAAUGAAUUCUUAAAUUCUUUGUUUUCAGAGAACCUUGACAACUGCAUAGAUUUUUUUUCAAGACAAUAAGCAUCUUAUAAGAUGCAGAUUUAUUAUUGGUGCUAAUGCAUUAAUAACAAUUCUAUUGAGCUGAUGCUUCAAUUUUUUUUGAAGUUAUU
rnacentral:tRNA from 1 species